rnacentral:rRNA from 1 species
GAUGAACGCUGGCGGCGUGCCUAAUACAUGCAAGUCGAGCGAAUGGAUUAAGAGCUUGCUCUUAUGAAGUUAGCGGCGGACGGGUGAGUAACACGUGGGUAACCUGCCCAUAAGACUGGGAUAACUCCGGGAAACCGGGGCUAAUACCGGAUAACAUUUUGAACCGCAUGGUUCGAAAUUGAAAGGCGGCUUCGGCUGUCACUUAUGGAUGGACCCGCGUCGCAUUAGCUAGUUGGUGAGGUAACGGCUCACCAAGGCAACGAUGCGUAGCCGACCUGCGAGGGUGAUCGGCCAAACUGGGACUGAGACACGGCCCAGACUCCUACGGGAGGCAGCAGUGGGGAAUCUUCCGCAAUGGACGAAAGUCUGACGGAGCAACGCCGCGUGAGUGAUGAAGGCUUUCGGGUCGUAAAGCUCUGUUGUUAGGGAAGAACAAGUGCUAGUUGAAUAAGCUGGCACCUUGACGGUACCUAACCAGAAAGCCACGGCUAACUACGUGCCAGCAGCCGCAGUAA